AAUUUUCUGUUUCAGCACAUAAAUGUAUCAAUAUCUGGGCAUAAAAAACUCUUCAAUCUCAACAUUUCUCAUCAUGGUGUGCAAAAAAGAAAUAUGGCUUUCCGGUUUUCUGAGAAUUGGUAACAUGAAUGAUUAAGCAGCUAAAUGUGGAUCAAGAGUUUUCAUUGACAAUAAUUUGGAACACCAUCAUACAUGUUGCAAAUAACACAAUAG
rnacentral:misc_RNA from 1 species